UUAGUGGCGAACGGGUGAGUAACACGUGGGCAAUCUGCCCUGCACUCUGGGACAAGCCCUGGAAACGGGGUCUAAUACCGGAUAAUACUGUGCCCCUCAUGGGGGACGGUUGAAAGCUCCGGCGGUGCAGGAUGAGCCCGCGGCCUAUCAGCUUGUUGGUGGGGUAAUGGCCUACCAAGGCGACGACGGGUAGCCGGCCUGAGAGGGCGACCGGCCACACUGGGACUGAGACACGGCCCAGACUCCUACGGGAGGCAGCAGUGGGGAAUAUUGCACAAUGGGCGAAAGCCUGAUGCAGCGACGCCGCGUGAGGGAUGACGGCCUUCGGGUUGUAAACCUCUUUCAGCAGGGAAGAAGCGAAAGUGACGGUACCUGCAGAAGAAGCGCCGGCUAACUACGUGCCAGCAGCCGCGGUAAUACGUAGGGCGCAAGCGUUGUCCGGAAUUAUUGGGCGUAAAGAGCUCGUAGGCGGUCUGUCACGUCGGGUGUGAAAGCCCGGGGCUUAACCCCGGGUCUGCAUUCGAUACGGGCAGACUAGAGUGUGGUAGGGGAGAUCGGAAUUCCUGGUGUAGCGGUGAAAUGCGCAGAUAUCAGGAGGAACACCGGUGGCGAAGGCGGAUCUCUGGGCCAUUACUGACGCUGAGGAGCGAAAGCGUGGGGAGCGAACAGGAUUAGAUACC
rnacentral:rRNA from 1 species